CUUUUUUUCUGAUUCAGGUUAUAAAUAACUCCCAUAAUAAUUUGGGACUUCAGAUUUUGACUAUAUUGGAGGAACUGGAUAAACAUUCUCACCGAGGACAACCAGAAGAUGGAUUCAACCGCACAUGCAUACUAAAACCUGACCUGUCUGAAGUUGUUUGCUGUAGUGAUUCUCAGAAACCCAGCCCUGGCCCGAGGUCUUCAGAGAUGACAGUGUCAUGAGGAGAGCCCACUACUCUGCACACCACGGGACUCCCAAGCAUGUGCCAGUUCUGGGUGGAGCAAGAGGCUGAGCUCAAAGCCUAAGGGACAGAGAAGCCAGUAGGAGUUCCCUCCAUCCAUGGCUUGGCUUGGAGCCAACACAAGGCACAAGUAGAGACUUGUGAGGUCCAAGAGUUUGAGACAUUGAGGUUCAGGGAGUGUCUUGGAAGUGGUCACAGAGAAGGGGGCUAUUUCCCCACCAGGUACUAGUUGAUUGGUAAACUGCCCAAAGCAAGAGAUCUCAAUGUACAGUGAAGGUCAAGCAAGGAUCUCAGCAGUCUCACUUCUUCACUGUGGAGACGAAAGUUAACAUGAAGGAUGUCCCAGAAAGGGAGGCCUGGCCCUACCCUGUGCUGGAGAUUCUCCACACUUAGUAUCUGAAACAGACCAAUGUAAAUGGCAUCAAGUCAGAGACCACCAGCCUGCAUUCUGCUGAAGAGGAGAUGGGUGGACCCUGCAGGAUCAUCACCCGGAGCCUCUCAGAGUUGACAUUCACAGAGACAAGAAUUCAUAGACCAUCACCAGCCGAACCAGGAAACCUCUCCAAGGGGGAGACAUGGAGGGAUGAGCCUCCGGGCUGAAGCAGACUGUUCCUGGAGACCAACCAAGAAUUACCUGCAGGUGCUGUGUUCAGGACGACCCAGGGAGACCGACUCUACAAGCUACAAUCAGAAAUUGCAGAACUAGAGGGAUAGGGCCAAGGUCAGAGGACGUGUUCACCAGGGUUCAUAGCAAGGGAGACGGGAGCAUAGAAAGCUGAAGAAUGGGCGAUAGGAACCAUCGUGAAUGACACGCGGCCCGGCAACAUGUCCUAUGUAUGUAACUGAAGUAAAGAGGAAGAUGGAGAUGAUAGCAGAAGCCACGUUCAAAGGCAAAUUGUGGAUGAUGUUUCAAAACAGAUCAGAGACUCCAAGCUGGAGCUUGGAGUGAAGACCUGGAACCUAACAGGGAUAAAUGAGAAAUAUGAGCAAAUAUAAAAUCACCAUGACAGUAAAAAAACACCAUGAUAAGAGAAUAAAAUAUGCAGAACAGAGCAGCUGAGGCAAAAACAUAUCUCAACCUUUGCAAUAUCAGUGGU
rnacentral:lncRNA from 1 species